UACGUAGGGUGCGAGCGUUGUCCGGAAUUAUUGGGCGUAAAGAGCUCGUAGGCGGUCUGUCGCGUCGGUCGUGAAAGUCCGGGGCUCAACUCCGGAUCUGCGGUGGGUACGGGCAGACUAGAGUGAUGUAGGGGAGACUGGAAUUCCUGGUGUAGCGGUGAAAUGCGCAGAUAUCAGGAGGAACACCGAUGGCGAAGGCAGGUCUCUGGGCAUUAACUGACGCUGAGGAGCGAAAGCAUGGGGAGCGAACAGG
rnacentral:rRNA from 1 species